rnacentral:rRNA from 1 species
GUCUAUGGCCAUGCUACCCUGAACAAGUCCAAUCGCAUCUGAUCUCGGAAGCUAAGCAGGGUCAGGUCUGGUUAGUACUUAGAUGGGAGACUACCUAGGAAGACCAAAGUGCUGUAGGCA